rnacentral:rRNA from 1 species
AUUGAACGCUGGCGGCAUGCCUAACACAUGCAAGUCGAGCGAGCGGCGGACGGGUGAGUAAUGUAUGGGGAUUGCCCGAUAGAGGGGGAUAACUACUGGAAACGGUGGCUAAUACCGCAUACUGUCGGAUAACCCAUAUGGGAUUAGCUAGUAGGUAAGGUAAUGGCUUACCUAGGCGACGAUCCCUAGCUGGUCUGAGAGGAUGGUCAGCCACACUGGGACUGAGACACGGCCCAGACUGCUAGGGAGGCAGCAGGGGGGAUUAUGGAACAAGGGGCGCAAGCCUGAUGCAGCCGUGCGGCGUGUAUGAGGAGGGCCCUAGGGUUGUAAAGCUCGGUUAAUCGGGAGACGGUACCGGAAUAGAAAGCCACGGCUAACUACGUGCCAGCAGCCGCGGUAAUUC